AAGUUGCGAAACGUCUUCGGCAUGGAGAGCGAUUGACAAUUGAAGGAAAUCGUGCACGAGCUGCGCGUACACCGACGAAAGAAGAAACUGCGGUGAAUGCAUCAUAAAAAUCUUCGGUGGAGCAAACAAUUCGAGAAAUUUAAGUGAAUUUUUUUAUUUCUCGAGCUGCCACGUGGAUAGGAAACGAGUAAAUAAAUUUAACAUAAAAGCGGCAAUAAAAAUGUUGAUAUCCAAAGAGUUGAGAACGCCGAAAAAUGCUGGAUAAGCAGAGAUAAAAAGUGUGGAUUAUACUCGGGGGUAAUUAUACGGGCGCUGGCACAGUCUCAACAAGCAAAGGCUCCAAUUCCGUAACGUUCCAGCAGCCGCGUGUUCCGGAUCGAACCAAUUAGCGAUGGUUCACGCUUAAACGCUAAUCGGCCAAUUAGUUUCAGGAGAAUAUAUUCGCGGGCGGUCGUGACGAGGAAUUUUGUAACCGCGAGAGCGCUUCUCUUGGAAAAUCAUUUGCGACUCCUCGAGGAGACUUCGAGUGUCCCAACCUCGUUCGUCACGAUUUUCACGUGCAUCCCUCCGCUAUUUCGCUUUCCUCUUUGCUCGCGCCUCCCUGUCCGCAACGUUUUAUCAAUCCUUCACUCAGGCACAUUCAUUUUCAGGGGGCGAUGCGGAGCUCGCAGUUCCUCAAGAAUCGCACCUCAAUGCCCCAAAUUGGCCCUUAACUCUCAUUCAUAUUCGCCAAUCCUCGAACCUUUGGGAGCAUGAAAUUCUUGAGAACGACCGCAGCCUUCGGCUCUCAGAAAAUCGCGGUUUCAAGAGCUCCUUCGUACAAACAAUUUUCUCGAACCUUCGACAUUGUUAUUUUGUUUAAAAAAGCCAAGAAGGAGCCUCUAAAAAAUGCCUCGCUUGAAGCUUUCUCCAGCUUGUGAAGACACCCGAAGGUAAAUUGAGCGAAGGAUUUCGCCUCAACGCGUGCGAAUAUAUAUGCAGAGAAACCAACGUGUGUGUAAAAACCAUAAACUCUCGUCCGCGCAUUCGUACUGUUUACGCUCGUUGCAUCGUCGCGUGCUUCCUCUUCAUGGACACGAAUAUAUUUCCCCCUCGGUAUUUUAUAAUCCUCAAACUUGCAUUAAUUCCUCGACGUGGGUGUCGCGCUUAUAAUACCCCGGCUACAAAUAUGCCGAGUGUAUUCAUCCGGUACUCGUGUGCGCGUGUAGAUAAACAUGAGGUAAACACACUCGCCAGGGGAAAGAACGAGAGAUCAACAUCCGGUUUAUCGUUAGAGUCGGCUUAGGGUGGGUUUAAAGCGUCGAUUAAGGGACUCUGCGGUCACCUCGUUUUAACGAUAUUUAACGUGUUCAGUUUCUCCGAUAAUGAGAGCUGUACAUAUUGGCUUAGCAAAUCCGAAUGAAACAAUGUGUAACGAAGCUUUUUACGGGCCGUCGUUUCGCCCCGCGACGGACCCGCCAACAAUUGUUCAUUUUCUUUUAGCUUCUUUUGAAAUAAACGAAAGAAAUAAGAACGCAAA